rnacentral:miRNA from 1 species
UCGUGUGAAACUCUUUCCACA